rnacentral:rRNA from 1 species
UUGACCUCGGAUCAGGUAGGAAUACCCGCUGAACUUAAGCAGACA